rnacentral:tRNA from 1 species
GUAGAUCUAGUUUAACCAAAACAUUAGAUUGUGAUUCUAAAGACAGGGGUUAAAACCCCCUGAUCCACC